rnacentral:pre_miRNA from 1 species
AAAACAGCGCGAACACAAGGACGAUGAAAAAGGGCACACACACCACACCACGGGUGUGGUGUGUGUGCCCUUUUUCAUCGCCCUUGUGUUCGCGCUGUUUU